AAAUAUUAACAAAUACGACGCCGUCUAUUGAACAAGUGAAUAAACCACUGACGCAUGCACGAGCAGAGAGUAAUAUUGAAAUUAAUUAAUUGUGUGUCUAAUUAAGAUGCAAUCUUAUCCUUAUGGCAAGCCAUAUUUGGCGAAAUAUAUCAUAUCCGAUUGAACAGAACGUGGGACGGAUUUUCAAUAUUCACUGAUUUAAAACCUCCAACCAGUCAAAUCCAUGAGCAGAUUCUCUGUAUAGUAUUUAAUCCGUAGAAUUCAUUUAUAAAAUGACAUUUGAGUAAGACCCUGACGUCGGAAAGGUGUGUAUCGAUAAAUUUAUCCAAUAAAAAGCAGAAGCUUAGGUAAAAGAUAGGUGGUAAAAAAGAAAGACUUCAUAUCUCAGUUGUCGUGAUAUAAGAAAGAUUUAUUGUUGAAACUUAUCAGUUCUUGGGUAUUAGCAGUUCAAUCGGGGUGACUGAUAUAAACAUCCGAGUUAAAACUUUAGGACAUAAAUAAAUAUCAGUAGGGAAAUUUUACUUAUUUAGCGAGUGGACUUUUAGUAAUGAUGACAAUAUUAUUUCAACAGUUAUGAAAACAGUUUGUUUAGUUUUAGUGAUAUCAAGUUUCGUUCACGCUGGAUUUCUGGAAAACUUUUGUGCACAAAAAUGCAACUUGGGUCUCGGCGGAAAUUUAUGUAGAUGUAAUGGAUUUCAUUUUGCCGGGAAACGGACGAUGUCUGACAAAUAUAUAGAAAACAAUCCAGAUUCAUAUAAACCUUAUACAAUGGAUAGGAACACUGCUCCUGCAGAGAUAGAUGUCCCAUAUUACCAAAAUAAUAAAGAUCAUUCAGUAAACAGAUUAAGAGAAAUGAAGUUAGCACAGACCUUCUUACGAUGGCUAAUGACAUCAGGCGAAAGAAGGUAAG
rnacentral:lncRNA from 1 species